rnacentral:lncRNA from 12 species
AGAACAGACAUGUAAUGAACCAGGUUGGGGUUCUGUUUUGUUCUGUUUUUUUGUAAAGCAAAAGAAUACCCUUUCUAAGAGAAGUUAAACAAAAUGCAGUGGGGGCUCAUAUCAGGGAGAGAUUGCUUUCCACUGGGGGAGAGAAGAGUACUUUCUCAGGGAAUGGGACAGGUUGCCUCAACUUGGACAGGGCUCGCAGCUGACCCGAGAGGUGUGAUGGCUUGUAUACUACUGCAUGGUCACAUGCAGCCCUUACUGCCAGAACCAAAGGAGGUAAAAGACAUCUUCUGACACGUGGGUUUUCUACAGUCCUGGUUUCCUCACCACAACCUUGGAAGGAAGAAGCAAGAAGGAGGAAUUGGAAAUCAAAGAGAAACUCCUCUGUGUCCUCCUGCAGUCCUACUUGGCCAAGGCAGGAAGGACCCAUGGAGGGGGGCACUGAGCGACCAUGCAGCUGAGCUAGAUCGUCAGACUCUUCCUUCUCUUGAAGCCCUUUGCACCCCAGCCCUGCCUACUGGAGCCAGAGGUAACGGAGAGCAGAGAAGGCAAGUGUUCCCUCCAGCAGUUGCUCCAAAAGUCUUUUGGCAAGAAGGAAAGUUGGUGGGAGGCUGUGCCCCUUCCUGCCCCCCACGCAUCAGGAUGGGAGGAUGUGGCUGUGCUUCUGCCUGGAGCCCCGUGCUCCUGUAACCUGCUCCUUCCAGUGACCUAAGUCGCACCUGGUCUCAGAAGGGGAAGGAAGAGGUAAGAGGACACUCUUCCCACUAUGGCUACAAAAGAGACCUGAUGCCUUCCCUUCAACCACCCCCCCCCCCAAGAGAGUGCAGUUCUCAGAGGCGCCCUCACACCUGCUUGCAUUUUAAUUAAUAUCAUCCCACCAUCUAUCAACAGCAAGUCAACAUGCUUCACACCAGGGGAGAAAAACAAUCCUCGCCUUGUCAGCCCUGCUUCUCCAGGAGCAGCUGAGGGUCUCAACCCCCCCUGACUCUCUGCCACUCCUUUUCCCUGGGGGCUGUUGACAGGGUGCAGUGUGGCUUGCCACGAAGAUGGCUUCGGCAUCAGAAGGUGGCAGCAUGGGAGCGCUGGCUGGAGCUGCCUCUUGGUCAGGUACAGGCACUUAGUACCAGCUCUGUGCUCAGGGCUUUCUGAUCAUUGAAGCAAUGGUGUGCGAAAAGGAUUUCUAUCCUCAUCUUAUCAGAAGGUGCACUAGAAGUUUGGAGAAGUACGGGGACUGCUGAGGUCCCACUGCUGAAGCAGGACCAGGCUGGGCAUCUGAAAGGCAGACCUGGCCUCCAGAUCCCUCAGGCUCUUCCCGCCUCUCUUCCCCAGUACCCCAUGACAGCAGCCUGGGGAAGGGACUGGCCUUGAGUGCUUUUCUGAGCAGCAGAGCUGGUGGGGACAGAGCCUUCCUUCCCCGCAUCCACCACAGCCAUACCCUUGGGACACUGUUUAGCCCACUGGACUUCUGCCAAGUGCUAUCCCAGAUGAUCAACACCGUUUUCUGAGAUAUGAGAUAAUUAACUGCCCCGACUUUAGCAGCAGAAUGAGAAGGGUUCUGUUAGGUGGAGACAGGAGUUAAGAAUAGGCAAGUAUAUCAAUAGAAGGUCAUAGUGUGGAAGCCUCUUUGUAUUUAUGGGGUAUGUGUGCACAGAUGCAUGCCCAUAAGAGUGUGAGGCAGUUGGAACAGUAU